rnacentral:sRNA from 1 species
UUCCAACAGUAAAGCUUGUUACGGUUCC